AGCCCUCUGCGAGGCCCCUUGCCGCCGAGGUGGGGGGACGAGCAGGGGGCUCCCAAGGGGGGUGAAGUCGUAACAAGGUAGCCGUAGGGGAACCUGCGGCUGGAUCACCUC
rnacentral:rRNA from 1 species